rnacentral:tRNA from 1 species
GGAGAGGUGGCUGAGUGGUCGAAUGAGCCGAUUCUGGCAAAUUUUGAAAACGUCAGUCCAAUAAAAUCAAUUAGUUACAGUGCAUGUAGGCCUAAGUAUUCCACUCGAAAUGCGGUGAACCGAAAGGUUCCGGGGGUUCGAAUCCCUCCCUCUCCGCCA